GUGAGCCGGGGCCUCUUCUUCGGAUGGCAAGUCCGCCUUCCCCGGACCCCAGAUGCGCAGGUUGCCUUUCGGGAAGGCAGAGUUCAUGGCUCGAAAUUCCAUCAGGUUUCUCUGGCCCAAAUGUAAGGGCUCACACUCUCAGUCUCCACUUCUGAAGUUCCUGAUGGGCCAAGCAGACCGGUGAGAGGGCCUGAGUCACACACACGCUGAGGAUACCUGGAGAUUCUAUCCAUGUCUGAAGGAAGCUGUAUCCACAGAUGACCACUAAAGGACAAUUUAAGGCAAUAUUCUGGCCUGCAAAAAACGUGGUUAGCCUGUUCUUGGUAAGAGCGAUAGCAGAAUGGUAAAGGUCCUGCCUGUGCAGGGCUGGGAAAAGACAUGACAAGUCAACUCCAGGCUUGGGUUGGCUACUGAUUCACUGGAAGACUGUCUUCUGGGAAUAUUUAUGCAGCUCAGAAAGGUGAAAGUGCAAAUUUAUUUCCUUUUGGCAAAUAUAGAAUGCAUAGAUUUCAUGUCUCCCUAGUGGGACACCGCACAAAUCAAAACUUUGAAUAAAGUGUAAGAAAAGUGAACAUCUGGGCCAGAAAACAAAAGAAAAUGUGUAAGAAGGCAAAAGAAAGAAGAUACCCAAAUCUAGCAAGUUGUACUAGCCUUACAUUGGAAGAUAAAGAAAGGGAACAACCUAAAAAAUUAGGUUGAGCUGCUAUAAACUCAGAUGAGUUUUACUGACUCCCAAAAAAGCAAGAAGAAAUAUAAUAGAGGGGGCCUCUCUGGUGGCGCAAGGGGUUGAGACGCAACCUGUGAAGCUAACCACAGCCACUGCAGCAUGAGUUUGAUCCCCGGCCAGGGAGAUACCCACAUGGCGCAGCAGAUCUCUCCUGAUUCACGCGCUGCUCCCCUCAGCAGUGAAUUCCAGUCACUCUGCCUAUUCUGUUCCCCACUCUGUCUCUGGUGAAUCCUCUCACCCCUACACCUCUGGCCUGUACCCCAGUUCUUGUAUGCAUAAAUAAAUCUUUUGAUUUUUAUUAAAAAUUA